AGAGGUCGGUUCGUAGCUUCAGUAUUAAUUUGAAGUUUAUUUCAUUAUUUUUGUUAUCAUUGAAUCAUCUUUAUGUACAUCAUUUUUGCAGGAUUUUAGAAGCAUGCCAUUAUUGUUGACUCAGAAUGCACUUAUGGAGCCAGAGGAUUAAUUAUUUGGUAGAAGCCAAAACUAUAUAAGAAAAAGUUGCAAGUAUGCCACCACCGGAACAAAUGAUGUGCGGCGUCAUUUUGGGAAUAGUGAUAUAUAUAAGGAAGGUAAAGAUUUCGCGGCAGAAGGUUAGAAUAUCAUAUGAUGGGAACAACUUUUGAAGGUGGUUAUUAUUGAAGGCAUUUGAAAGACCACAUAUAUGACAUAAUCAUACUGUUGUAUGCGCGGAGUAUUUAUGGUUCCUGGUCACUGUAUUACAAGUUUGAUGAAGAACAAUAUGGUACUAGAUUGCAGAGGACUAUUGUGGCAGAGAACUGUCUUUCUACCAAGUUAAAGCAUGGGGCCAAGAGUGUCGAUGUUGCACAUCAAAAUGCCUCCUCAAGGAAAAUCAAGUUUGCCAAGGAAAAUCAAGUUUGCCACUGUUUGAAGACUAAAAUUAGUAGGUCAUUUGGUUUUGUACAAUUCUCAACAAAUAGGUGAUAAGAAGACGGUACAAGAUCCGUGGGUAUUGUUAUGACAAUCUCAUCUUUAGAAUUGAAUGCACUGUUC